rnacentral:tRNA from 1 species
GCCCCCGUAGCUCAGUGGAUAGAGCGCAGCCCUCCGGAGGCUGAAGCACAGGUUCGAGUCCUGUCGGGGGCA